rnacentral:misc_RNA from 1 species
GAUGAAGAACGUAGCGAAAUGCGAUAAGUAAUGUGAAUUGCAGAAUUCAGUGAAUCAUCGAAUCUUUGAACGCACAUUGCGCCCGCCGGUAUUCCGGCGGGCAUGCCUGUUCGAGCGUCAUUUCAACCAUCAAGCCCUGGGCUUGUGUUGGGGACCUGCGGCUGCCGCAGGCCCUGAAAUGCAGUGGCGGGCUCGCAAGACACACCGAGCGUAGUAGCUUACAACCUCGCUUUGGGAGUGCUGCGGGUGCUGGCCGUAAAGCGACCUUUUGCGUCUUUAGCACUAGGUUGACCUCGGAUCAGAUAGGAGGACCCGCUGAACUUAAGCAUAUCAAUAAGCGGAGGA